rnacentral:rRNA from 1 species
AUGCACAUUAUUCGAUGGUGUUUUGAAAAGGCAUACGGCAGUUGUUGUUUUGGAGUUUUGAAACUAUUUCUCUUGCUAUUCUUGCCUCGUAGAAGGCAGGCAAUGCGCGGCAAGCUAUUUCACCUACUUGUUAGAUAUUGCAUCCUUAUUUAUUCUCAACACAUGACAAGUUGUGUUGUUUCUAUUCAUAUAUACUGUAGUAGGAUAUACACACGGAUAUUUUGUAAUGUUGUAGCCAACAAAGAGGCACAAAAGAGCAGAUGCAAGUUGCUGUCAACUGGCGCUCCAUCUGGAUUCGGAAUUCAUUUUCAUAUGGGAUGCAUUUUGUGCAGUAAAAAAACCAUUGGCUAG